GACGAACGCUGGCGGCGUGCUUAACACAUGCAAGUCGAACGGUGAAGCGAGUGCUUGCACUCGUGGAUCAGUGGCGAACGGGUGAGUAACACGUGAGUAAACUGCCCAUCACUCUGGGAUAAGCACUGGAAACGGUGUCUAAUACUGGAUACGACCAACCCUUGCAUGGGGUGUUGGAGGAAAGAUUUAUCGGUAAUGGAUGGACUCGCGGCCUAUCAGCUCGUUGGCGGGGUAAUGGCCCACCAAGGCGACGACGGGUAGCCGGCCUGGGAGGGUGACCGGCCCCACGGGGACUGAGACACGGCCCAGACUCCUACGGGAGGCAGCAGUGGGGAAUAUUGCGCAAUGGGCGAAAGCCGGAUGCAGCGACGCCGCGUGAGGAAUGACGGCUUUCGGGUUGUAAACCUCUUUCAGCAGGGAAGAAGCGAAAGUGACGGUACCUGCAGAAGAAGCACCGGCUAACUACGU
rnacentral:rRNA from 1 species